rnacentral:tRNA from 1 species
AUAAGUGGCGGCCACAGGCCGGCCCUCUCAAGGCGGAAACACGGGUUCGAAUCCCGUUGGGGCUACCA